AUUGAACGCUGGCGGCAUGCCUUACACAUGCAAGUCGAACGGCAGCACGGACUUCGGUCUGGUGGCGAGUGGCGAACGGGUGAGUAAUGUAUCGGAACGUACCUUUCAGUGGGGGAUAACGUAGCGAAAGUUACGCUAAUACCGCAUAUUCUGUGAGCAGGAAAGCAGGGGAUCGAAAGACCUUGCGCUGAUUGAGCGGCCGAUAUCAGAUUAGCUAGUUGGUGGGGUAAAGGCCUACCAAGGCGACGAUCUGUAGCGGGUCUGAGAGGAUGAUCCGCCACACUGGAACUGAGACACGGUCCAGACUCCUACGGGAGGCAGCAGGGGGGAAUUUUGGACAAUGGGGGCAACCCUGAUCCAGCCAUGCCGCGUGAGUGAAGAAGGCCUUCGGGUUGUAAAGCUCUUUCGGCCGGGAAGAAAUCGCAUAGGCUAAUACCCUGUGUGGAUGACGGUACCGGAAUAAGAAGCACCGGCUAACUACGUG
rnacentral:rRNA from 1 species